AUUUCUCUCCAUCCUUAGUAAUGUGAUUUAUAAAGAAAAGGAAGCUAUUACAUUAUUCUUGAUUCUUUGAAGUAGAUUUUUAAAGUAUGCAUUCUAGAUAGAAAAGUGCAUCUAAUCAAGCAUUCCAGUGAUGCCGGUAGCUUGAAUUUGACUUCUCUCUGUUCAGUGACAAGGCUCCUGUGAAAUCUGCAAAGAAAGCUGAUGGAUUCUUAAGAUCUGAUGCAUUUUUGAGAUGAAGAAACCAAUUAUAGAGUUGCAUGGAUUACGAAGAAAUCAUGCAUGGAGGCUGAAAUGGAUUGAAUGUUGAAAUUACAGACAACAAAGUAAAUGAAAGUUCUUAUUGUAUUUUACUUUCUUUAAAAAAAAACUGGCUUAUUGAACUGUAAUACUUAUUAUAAAAUGGGAGAGGACCAGAUAUAUUGUCAUAUUUAAGUAAAAUUUUGAUCUCACUGA